rnacentral:rRNA from 1 species
CUUGAGGCGAGCCUUCUGGAGCUAACGCGUUAAGUCGACCGCCUGGGGAGUACGGCCGCAAGGUUAAAACUCAAAUGAAUUGACGGGGGCCCGCACAAGCGGUGGAGCAUGUGGUUUAAUUCGAUGCAACGCGAAGAACCUUACCUGGUCUUGACAUCCACAGAACUUGGCAGAGAUGCCUUGGUGCCUUCGGGAACUGUGAGACAGGUGCUGCAUGGCUGUCGUCAGCUCGUGUUGUGAAAUGUUGGGUUAAGUCCCGCAACGAGCGCAACCCUUAUCCUUUGUUGCCAGCGGUUAGGCCGGGAACUCAAAGGAGACUGCCAGUGAUAAACUGGAGGAAGGUGGGGAUGACGUCAAGUCAUCAUGGCCCUUACGACCAGGGCUACACACGUGCUACAAUGGCGCAUACAAAGAGAAGCAAUCUCGCGAGAGCUAGCGGACCUCAUAAAG